UGCCUACGGGGGGCUGCAGUAGGGAAUAUUGGUAAUCUGGGAAACCGGGAACCAGCAACGCCGCGUGCGCGAUGAAGGCCUUCGGGUUGUAAAGCGCUUUUUGAAGGGAUGAGGAAGGACAGUACCUUCAGAAUAAGCCUCGGCUAACUACGUGCCAGCAGCCGCGGUAAAACGUAGGAGGCGAGCGUUAUCCGGAUUUACUGGGCGUAAAGCGUGUGUAGGUGGUUUGAUAAGUUGGAUGUGAAAGCUCCCGGCUUAACUGGGAGAGGUCGUUCAAAACUAUCAGACUCGAGAGUGGUAGAGGGAGGUGGAAUUCCGCGUGUAGUGGUGAAAUGCGUAGAUAUGCGGAGGAACACCAGUGGCGAAAGCGGCCUCCUGGACCAUUUCUGACACUCAGACACGAAAGCUAAGGUAGCAAACGGGAUUAGAUACCCCGGUAGUCUG
rnacentral:rRNA from 1 species